rnacentral:rRNA from 1 species
GUAUAAGGGCAUACUACUCAGCAUGCAUCCAAUCUUGUCAGAUCUCAGAAGCUAAGCGGUGUCAGGUUUGGUUAGUAUGUUGAUAAAAGAUAAAUUAAUCCUUGAGAUA